CUCACCUCACAGGGGAAAGAAUGAGAGGAGUUCAGCCUUUGAUGAGCUUAUCUAAAAUUUUGCCACCAUAAGUUAUUUUAAUUUGAACGUAUGUGUAAGUUUUGUGCUUUCUGCUUUAGUAUUAUUUUGAUUUUGAUUUGUGUGUGUGGGACACCAUAAUUUUUCAGUUCUUAGGGUCUCUAGAGGUCUUAAUCUGAACUUGAAUGGACCAGUGAAUUUACCAUCAGCAAAUGCUACUUAUACAUUUUCUUGCCAGCCAUAAAUUAAUAUUUAUUGAGUACAGUCUGGGUGCUGGGAGUGGGGAGCAGUGGAUUAGGAAAAUCCUGGGUACCAGGAAGUUUACAGUGAAGCUGGGGUGAAAGAAAGCAGGAAAAUAGUGGAGAUUCAUUUAUAGGGCUAGAUAUCAACAAAUGUAGAUUGAUCUAGUGCACAUUAAGUGCAGAAGUGUUCCAGAGUUGCCAUUGAGGUGUGAGAACAGCCUCAGGAGGGACGACUGUAGAGACUUCUUACAGGAGACAAGUUCCUACUUGGAUUUUGGAGGUUUAAAGAUUCUAUUAAAAUGUAGUAAAUUUGGCUUAACUUUGAAACAGGACUUCAGUGUGUCUAAACUCACUUUAUAUUGAUUUCAAUGGUAACAUUUUCUUUAGAAGUGAUGUAAUUUGAAGUUUAGAAUUGUGUGUUUGUAAUGUGCUUUUCAUUUUUUUCACUUAAAAAUUGUUUCCUUGGGAGAAAAAAAUCUUGUUUACCACAACUACCCCUGUUAAAUGUAGAAGGAAAAACGUGAGGGAAUUAAAAAGAUUAGCGUAACAUCAUUUUUAAAAACUCUUAUUUUUCCUUAACUCUCUCCCCAGUAGUCUUGCCUGAGUAUAUGUAUAAAUGUUGACUACAUAUUGAUGCCCAGCAAAAUUAUGCAGAAAUUCCUAAGUCCUGUAUCACCAGAUAUAGUCACUGUAUACUCUGGAGGCGGGGGGGACUUUUACUCCAUCAUGGGGUCCCUGAAUACUGAUGCAACUGUGUAAUUACUAGCCGCAGGCCUGGCUCUCAGUUAAAUUGUGAAGUUUUUAAGCUAUUAUCCCUUUCUUUACUUCCACACUAUUUUUCUUACCUUUUUUCCCCCACUCUCCUCAGAUGUUAAGGAUAAAGGCUUGAGGUUACUUCAUCCCAGGUCAUUUGCUUUUCUAAGAGGAGACUCUGGGGUUUGCUGUGUGUGAGGUGUAUGGCAAGCACUGUGCUAGGUUCUUUACAUACGUUACUGCAAAAGACUGUGCAGAGAAACAUAUUAAGCUGUUAAGAUCACACAAAUAGCUAGGUUUUGAGUCCUAGUGUUUCAGACUCCAAAGCCUGUGCUCUUUGCACUACAGCAAAACAUUUUAGGACCUAGGAUAAUCUAUGCUGGAAGUUCAGGCUUUGUGCCAGUUCCACAGGAAAAAUGCUUUUGACUGGGAGCAUUGCCCUAGUGCCCUUCAAAUUAGAUGAGGUGGAUCUAAUUAGUCCUCCUAACUCAUAAGGUCAGUUUUGUAUAGUUGCAUCUUAAGUCUUUAAAUGUAGUCUUAUUUGAGGAAGACUUUAAUCUUUGUUUUGAUUUUUUUCAAUUAAAUUCAAUUUAGUGAAUAUUUAUUGAAUGCCUAUUCUUUGCCAGGUACUAUGCUGAUGGUACAAAGACAGUUUAGUUAGGGAGACAUUAUAAGUAACUAUAAUACAAUUCACUGAAUGCUAUAAUAGAUGCAUAUACAAGGGAUCAUGGAAACAUACGAAGGUAUAAUUAAUUUGAGGGAAGAUGUCAAGGAAUGUUGUAUUUGAGCAGAACCUUGAAGGACAAGAAGUAAGAAUUUGCCAGAAGGACAGAAGGAAGUUGAUAAUUCAUUUCAGGUGAUGGGAAUAGCAUGAGCACAUGCGUGUAUAUGUCUGGCAUGUUUGGAAUGUGGUAAGAGUGGUAGAUUGUAAAAAUGGUCACAAGUUCUUCCCUUUCCUGCAUCCAACUCCUGGAAAUGUGAUACUGAAAAUCCUUCCAUUAAGAAGUGGAGUCUGUUUCCCCAUCACUGAAUUUGGGUUGAUCAUGUGACUGACUUGGCCAAUGGACAUUAGUAAAUAUGAAACCAGCAGAGAUUUGAGAAGUGCUUGUGCAGUGGGGCUUCUGUACUUGGAACCCUGAGAUCAUAUUGUGAAUGAACCUAGGUUAUCCUGCUGGAGGAUAAGUAGCCACCUGUAGGAGAGCAGAGGCUCUGGCUGAUAGUCUGCUAAGCACUAGACCUGUGAGUGAGAUCAUCUUGGAUUAUUUAGUUACGAGCUAAUCCACCACUGACCAUGGACACAGGGAGAGUCCUGGGGAAAUCUGUUGUCAGCCUGGACAGGAUGACCCACCUGAGUUGCACAAUUAUGAACUAAAUAAAAUGUUUUACCUAUUAGAUUUGGGGUGUUUUGUAUCAGCUAAGCUAAUCCACAAAAGGUCUGAGUAAAGUGCAAGGAAUGUAGGAGGAAGAAGUAGCUGAAGAUGAUGUGUAACGUUUACGAUAUCACGUUAAGAAGUUUGGACCUAUUUUGUAGGACUAAGCUUCCCAAUACUUCACUGACUCAUGUACCACUUUUAUCUUUUAAAAAAUGUCUGGGGCUUCCCUGGUGCCGCAGUGGUUAAGAAUCUGCCUGCCAAUGCAGGGGACACGGGUUCGAGCCCUGGUCUGGGAAGAUCCCACAUGCUGCGGAGCAACUAAGCCCGUGCGCCACAACUACUGAGCCUGUGCUCUAGAGCCCACGAGCCACAACUACUGAAGCCUACGUGCCUACAGACCUUGCUCCGCAACAAGAGAAGCCACUGCAAUGACAAAUUCGCGCACAGCAAUGAAGAGUAGCCCCGCUCACCACAACUAGAGAAAGCCAUGUACAGCAACAAAGAACCAAAGCAGCCAAAAGUAAAUAAAUAAAAUAAAUAAAUUUUUAAAAAUGUCUGCAUACUCGGAGUUAGAUUUUUAUUUAAAUUGUCCAAUUUUUAUACAACAAUUUACUUUAAAUGCAAACUUAAUAUUAACUUAAAAUCCCAAUUCAAGGUGUUAAUUCUUUUUUAAACCUAUUAAAAAUAUAAAUAUAUAAAAAGUUGGUCUAUUUGGUAUCAAAAAUCAUCUUGUAUAUUUUGAGUGCUGCAUUCUAGGAUUUCCCUGCUAUAAUCAGUAGGAAUCAGGACCAUGAGGAGAAUAAUUUGGAGUGGAGAGGCUGCUGGUAGGGAGGACUGAGGAGGCUGCUGCAGAGGCCCAGAUGGGGUCUGGCACAUGGUUGACAAACUAAGAUGUAUCCUUGAGGAAGAAGAGGAAGUGUCUGGAAACAGAUUUGUUGUAUGUGGGGUGGGAAUGGGGGAUGUGAAGUAUCCACUGAGUAGAUGCUAGUAAGAAAGGGAAGAGAAGAAAAAAAAUAAAGGUAAUAGAUCUGAUGUUGCACUUACUGAGUGUGAGUUAAUAGGUCAUUUGAAAACAGAGGCCCACCAGGCAUUUGCACAUGUAAAAUGUUUUUUUGAGCCAUGUGGCUUGUGGGAUCUUAGUUUCCCCACCAGGGAUUGAACCCGGGCCACUGCAGUGAAAGUGCUGAGUUCUAACCACUGGACCUGCAGGGAAUUCCCUUAAAAUGUUAUUUUUGAAAUCAACAUAUAGGUGAUAAUAUCAUCAAGAGGAAGUGUUUAGUCCAGAGAUCUUCAGCUUAUUCUUGUUUGUUUUUUUCAUCCCCAAACUUUUAUGGGAUAUGAUUUACUCCAGAUAGAAAUAGUGAGUGAUUCACAUAGGUAAUGAUUCUCAAACGGGGGUGGAAAGUACCUGUAUAGUUUUUAAAAAUGUCCCCCAUACGAUUUUGAUAUACUACCCUUCACUCCUUCUUGAUUUAGUGGGAGAUGAGGACAGGGCUGUGGAAAAGGAAUUAGUGAGAAGGGACAGAGCGGGCUAAGAAGUAGACUCCUCUAAGAGGGAGAGAACUUUUACAUAUGUGAAGGAACUUUAAGAUGAAGGGACAAGCCAUGGUACUAAAUUCUGCAGAGAAAUCCAGUAGUUUGAAGAUUAUUCUUUAAGCAAAACUGGUUUAUCACAGUAUAUAAUACUUGGCAUAUAAUAGGAGCACAGUAAAUGUUUGGGUAAAUGAUUUAUGUAGAACUGUUUUGUGUUUGAAACACUUCACAAGCCUUAAAUAUUCAAGUCAGACAGGAUAUGUAAUUGUACUGCUUUGGGCUCCAAAAUCAAUGUGGGUUUUAAACAUUUUGUUUCCCUGUCCAUGAUCAGUGACUUAGAUAUAUGCCCACUAGGGCACCAUAGUCCUGAUCUCAGUGCAAAACAAUGUUUGAGGCUGUUUUCAAGAAUUACUGUCAGUCAGCAUCCUUGUUACGGCCACUCCACGCUUAGGCCUCCUAACCUUUACCACCUGUGGCUCCCAGGAGUAAAUUGUUUGUCUUACGAUGGUUUGGGUUGAUGGAGUGAAUAUACUUGACUGGCAGAACAGGAACGUCAUUGGCCUGUCUGGCUCUCAGGUAAUUUUUACAUUCAUAAUAGCAGCUUCUUUUAUUACUGUGAUUAUUCUUAAAAUGACAUAAAUUUCUACCAGAUCAAGACAGCAGUUUCCUCAGACCAUGAUUUGGUGCCGAUGCGGGAUCCUCAGAGCACGCUCAGCAGUACACACUGGCUUGACAUCUGGCAUCCAUGACUCCUGUGAGAUUGGCUUCCCUCUAGAUGUGCCCUGAAAGCAUCCCUGCUGUGCCCCUUCUGUCCAAGUGUAAACGCAUCACAGGAAACGAACAAGUAAAGAUUCAAGUUUUAUGGAAGGAAUCGAGAACCCCUCACCCAGCUGGAAACCCGGGUUUUGGUGUCCAGGAAAUUUGACCAGCCGUUUGGAUAGAGGCUGUUGUCUGUGGCACCUUAGUCCCCUUCUCCUUCUAAACUUCCCACAUGCUGUCCAUAGCCUCUAUUCUAAGUCAUCCAGCUGAGGAAAAUUGCUUCAGGACCUUUAAAAUGUGAAAUAACGGUUGUCUUUUACUGUGGAUUCAUUAGUGCAGCUGGAUUUAGUUAUUUACAGUUGUAAAUUUGGCACUGUUUUUACUGAGGUAGGGGACUCUUUAAAAUAAUUGAAGCAGUCUAAAGCUAAACCUAUAAAUAAUUAUUCAUUUCCACUUGUUUUAAUAUGGAGAUAAAAAAUAUUAAAAUGAUUAAAGAAAAUAGGUAUAUAACAAGGGAGUUAAGACACCGAAGUAAAAGUAAGAGGAAGAAGCCUUUUCACAUUUCCCUUGCGACUGUCUUCCCAAUUCCAUUUUCGCUCCAGUCUAAUGAAUGUAUUUUAAAUAAAAUUCACAUACUCUCUUUGCUCUCUGUCUUCCUACUACUACAAAUAUCAGCUCAGCCCCUCUUUCAGAUCCACUUCAAGGAAAUGCAGACUUGAAAAACUCUCCCCCAUGGUUUUGUCUGAACUAGCUGCCGUUCUGCAGCACACUGGAUCCAGUUGCUGGAGUGGGGGAACCCGAGAGGUGUACUGUCUGUAGGAUGGAGAUAGACUGAAUACCUGCUUCGCUGAAUACUGGCUUCAGAUCACCUUUCACAUUUUCUUGUUGGAAAGGCAACUGUUGGAGAAUCAUCUUGUUACCGUCAGCAAAAAUGGAAACAAAUCAAGACAUUAAGAAUGCCACGGUGAAGGACUUCCCUGGUGGCCCAGUGGUUAAGAAUCCACCUGCCAAUGCAGGGGACAUGGUUCAAUCCCUGGUCUGGGAGAUCACACAUGCCACGGAGCAACUAAGCCCAUGAGCCACGACUACUGAGCCUACGCACCUAGAGCCCGUGCUCCACAACAAGAGAAGCCACCGCAAUGAGAAGCCUGUGCACCUCAAUGAAGAGUAGCCCUGCUCACCACAACUAGAGAAAGCCCAUGUGCAGCAGUGAAGACGCAACGUAGCCAUAAAUAAUGAAUAGAUAGAUAGAUAGAUAGAAUGCCACAGUGAGUGACCAGCAGUUAAUGAUGCCAGUAUUAUGCAAGCUUCGGCAAAGGAAUUUUUCAAGACAGUGUGCCUCACCAGCCAGAAAUCAGGAAAGUUGAACCUCUCCUUUUUAUCUCAGCUUUUUCUUAAAUCAAUGCAACCCCUCCAAAUUAAAGUGAAUUGAAACAUG